rnacentral:misc_RNA from 1 species
GAUGAAGAACGCAGCGAAAUGCGAUAAGUAAUGUGAAUUGCAGAAUUCAGUGAAUCAUCGAAUCUUUGAACGCAUCUUGCGCUCCUUGGUAUUCCGAGGAGCAUGCCUGUUUGAGUGUCAUUUUAACUUCUCGACCAUAUCGAAUUGUUUUUCGAGGUGGCUUGGACAUGGGGGUUUUUGCAGGCUUUAAUAAUGAAGUCGGCUCCUCUGAAAUGCAUUAGUGGUAUCUGAAGCAGAACUGCUACUAUUAGGUGUGAUAAUUAUCUAUGCCUCUUGGUAUACUGCAUGAACAGAUUGCGCUGCUUCCAACUUGUACACCCUUUGGUGUUUGACAAAUUUGACCUCAAAUCAGGUAGGACUACCCGCUGAACUUAAGCAUAUCAAUAAGCGGAGGA